GACGAACCGUGCGAAUGUUGUUCGGAAUCACUGGGCAUAAAGGGCGCGUAGGCGGCUUGUCAAGUCAGGGGUGAAAUCCGGCAGCUUAACUGUCGAAGUGCCUUUGAUACUGUGGAACUUGAGUACAGACGAGGUAGGCGGAAUUGACGGUGUAGCGGUGAAAUGCUUAGAUAUCGUCAAGAACACCGAUAGCGAAGGCAGCUUACUAGACUGUAACUGACGCUGAGGCACGAAGGUGUGGGGAUCAAACAGG
rnacentral:rRNA from 1 species